UACGUAGGGUGCGAGCGUUGUCCGGAAUUAUUGGGCGUAAAGAGCUCGUAGGCGGUGUGUCGCGUCGGCUGUGAAAACCCGGAGCUCAACUCCGGGCCUGCAGUCGAUACGGGCAGACUCGAGUGUUGCAGGGGAGACUGGAAUUCCUGGUGUAGCGGUGAAAUGCGCAGAUAUCAGGAGGAACACCGGUGGCGAAGGCGGGUCUCUGGGCCGUAACUGACGCUGAGGAGCGAAAGCAUGGGGAGCGAACAGG
rnacentral:rRNA from 1 species